GGGGCUGUUCUGGAUUCGACAGGGUAGUUCAAGUUUGAUUAGCAUGCUAUCGGCAGAUAUAAAAAUGCAUGGUUAAAUAUAACCGGAAAUCAAAAUUACGCUUACGCGGCUUAAGAAGAAGCUGCAAAUUCAUUCGGGUUUGUCUAUAGACCCGUUCUGAAUUCCAGAAAUAUAGAAUAAUGUAUUUCCCUGCCUUCUUAAGGGGAUGCAUGAGAAUAAUAAGAAUAGAUAGGCAUAUGUGCGUUGGUUGGCAAUUGUCUAUUGAAACUUUGCAAUCAACUAAGCAUGUAGAAGGUUAAAUGAUUGGCUAUUUUGGACAGGGGUUCAACUCCCCUCAGCUCCACCA
rnacentral:tmRNA from 1 species